AGGCUAUACUGCAAAGUAGGAGGAAUUUCCUCUAAGAGGGGGAAAUUCAGCUCUUAGAUGGGGGAAAAUGAAAAAAAAAAUCAAAUAUAUAUAUUUUUUAUGUUGGAGGCAUUUCUGCUGCUCCUUGGCAGGAAGGAAAGAAGGAGAAUGUUAACGGGUAUUCUUUCUUCCAAAGUGCACCGCGUAUAGGAAGGACCCUGGGGUGAGGACUGAAACAGGAAGACAAAUACAAGCGGAGGUCGUGAGCGCCAUCCUUGGACGCGAGCAUCAAUAUUUCAUCCUUGCUUCGCCUGCCAGCAUCCCGCUCCCUCCUCCCUG
ensembl:lncRNA